rnacentral:rRNA from 1 species
GACGAACGCUGGCGGCGUGCUUAACACAUGCAAGUCGAACGGGAUCCGGGCUUUCGGGUUUGGUGAGAGUGGCGAACGGGUGAGUAACACGUGAGUAACCUGCCCCCUUCUUUGGGAUAACGUCGGGAAAUCGGCGCUAAUACUGGAUAUUCUUGCUGCAUCGCAUGGUGUGGUUUGGAAAGGGUUUCUGGUGGGGGAUGGGCUCGCGGCCUAUCAGCUUGUUGGUGGGGUGAUGGCCUACCAAGGCUUUGACGGGUAGCCGGCCUGAGAGGGUGUCCGGCCACACUGAGACUGAGACACGGCCCAGACUCCUACGGGAGGCAGCAGUGGGGAAUAUUGCACAAUGGGCGCAAGCCUGAUGCAGCGACGCCGCGUGAGGGAUGACGGCCUUCGGGUUGUAAACCCCUUUCAGUAUGGAACAAGGAUCCUUCUUUUGGGGGGUUUGAGGGUACGUGCAGAAGAAGCGCCGGCUAACUACGUG